rnacentral:misc_RNA from 1 species
UUUUUUUUUUUUUUUUUUUUUAAUAAAAAGCAUCUCAUGGAAUUGGGAGUGAUAUUUUUUAGCUAGAACAUGACAUCAGCAAGAUUGAAGUCCACAUAAUCGCAACCAACUGUAUGCAUAUGAUGCAGCUAAAGGCAGUGGUUUCAAAUCCUUCAGAAUUCCAGUAAUUACUUCAGUUUCUAAUUAAGAGCCGAAGAAACAGGAAGACCUCUAUGCC